AUUGAACGCUGGCGGCAGGCUUAACACAUGCAAGUCGAACGGUAACAGGAGAAAGCUUGCUUUCUUGCUGACGAGUGGCGGACGGGUGAGUAAUGCUUGGGAAUCUGGCUUAUGGAGGGGGAUAACGACGGGAAACUGUCGCUAAUACCGCGUAGAAUCGAGAGAUGAAAGUGCGGGACCGCAAGGCCGCAUGCCAUAGGAUGAGCCCAAGUGGGAUUAGGUAGUUGGUGGGGUAAAGGCCUACCAAGCCGACGAUCUCUAGCUGGUCUGAGAGGAUGACCAGCCACACCGGGACUGAGACACGGCCCGGACUCCUACGGGAGGCAGCAGUGGGGAAUAUUGCGCAAUGGGGGCAACCCUGACGCAGCCAUGCCGCGUGAAUGAAGAAGGCCUUCGGGUUGUAAAGUUCUUUCGGUAUUGAGGAAGGUUGUUGUGUUAAUAGCACGACAAAUUGACGUUAAAUACAGAAGAAGCACCGGCUAACUCCGUGCCAGCAGCCGCGGUAAUACGGAGGGUGCGAGCGUUAAUCGGAAUAACUGGGCGUAAAGGGCACGCAGGCGGACUUUUAAGUGAGGUGUGAAAUCCCCGGGCUUAACCUGGGAAUUGCAUUUCAGACUGGGAGUCUAGAGUACUUUAGGGAGGGGUAGAAUUCCACGUGUAGCGGUNAAAUGCGUAGAGAUGUGGAGGAAUACCGAANGCGAAGGCAGCCCCUUGGGAAUGUACUGACGCUCAUGUGCGAAAGCGUGGGGAGCAAACAGG
rnacentral:rRNA from 1 species